GCCAGCAGCCGCGGUAAUACAGAGGGUGCAAGCGUUAAUCGGAAUUACUGGGCGUAAAGGGCGCGUAGGCGGUGAGAUGUGUGUGAUGUGAAAGCCCUGGGCUUAACCUAGGAAGUGCAUCGCAAACUGUCUUGCUGGAGUAUAUGAGAGGGUGGCGGAAUUUCCGGUGUAGCGGUGAAAUGCGUAGAGAUCGGAAGGAACGUCGAUGGCGAAGGCAGCCACCUGGCAUAAUACUGACGCUGAGGCGCGAAAGCGUGGGGAGCGAACAGGAUUAGAUACCCUGGUAGUCCACGCUGUAAACGAUGAGUACUAAAUGUUGGUAGGGGAACCUAUCGGUAUUGAAGUUAACACGAUAAGUACUCCGCCUGGGAAGUACGGCCGCAAGGUUGAAACUCAAAUGAAUUGACGGGGGCCCGCACAAGCGGUGGAGCAUGUGGUUUAAUUCGAUGCAACGCGAAGAACCUUACCUACCCUUGACAUCCUGCGAAUCUGGCUGAGAGGCUGGAGUGCCGAAAGGAGCGCAGAGACAGGUGCUGCAUGGCUGUCGUCAGCUCGUGUUGUGAGAUGUUGGGUUAAGUCCCGUAACGAGCGCAACCCUUGUCCUUAGUUGCCAUCAUUUAGUUGGGGACUCUAAGGAGACUGCCGGUGAGGAACCGGAGGAAGGCGGGGACGACGUCAAGUCACCAUGGCCUUUAUGGGUAGGGCUACACACGUGCUACAAUGGGGCGUACAGAGGGUCGCGAACCCGCGAGGGGGAGCCAAUCUCAUAAAGCGUCUCGUAGUCCGGAUUGGAGUCUGCAACUCGACUCCAUGAAGUGGAAUCG
rnacentral:rRNA from 1 species